UGGAUCACUUGGCUCGUGGGUCGAUGAAGAAC
rnacentral:rRNA from 1 species